AUGAGCAUCGUGACUAGUUGGCCCACAGAGGAGCAAAGGGAAGACUUUGAUUUUGCAAAUCCCACAAGCAUGACAUACUUAAAAAAAUAUAGGGAAGACUUGCUCCAAGCUAUUAAGCUCUGUUGUUCAAAGCCUAAUGCACUGGCAAGAUUUGACAAACUCAUGCAAAAUAAAAGGGAACAUCCAACUUCAUUUAUAGAUCAUCUCUCUGAAAUGGCUGAAUCAAUUAUGGGUUUAGAGGCAAAUACUGAUGAAUCUACUAAUCAUAAGGAAGAAGGAGAAAAGAAGACAAAGAAGAAGAAAAAGAAGAAGAAGAAAAGAAGAAGGAAAAAGAAGAAGAAGAAGAAGAAGAAGAAGAAGAAGAAGAAGAAGAAGAAGAAGGUGUUAUAUUUUGUUCUGCCUUCAUACUCUAUCAGUUCUUUUUCUGAAGGCAGAUAACAUUUUUAUCAUGAGUCUCUGGAUCAUUAUAUUGCAUAGAAUAAGGAGGUCAUUCACAGUUGUUCAUCAAAAAGUAUUGUUUUUAUUAUGUACAAUGUUCUCUUUUCUAUUCAUUUUGCAUCAGUUCAUCUAAGUAUUUCCAAGUUUUUUCUUUAUGAAAUAAUCUUGCUUGUCAUUUCUUAUGGCAUAAUAGUAUUCUAUUAUAAUCAUAUCCCACAACUUAUUCACCUAUUCUCCAUUUUCCUCAUUUUCCAAUUCUUUGCUACCACAUAGAGAGCUGCGAUAACUAUUUUUGUAUAAAUAGGUCCUUUUCUCUCUUUUUAAAACAUCUUUGGGAUACAUAUAUAGAAAUGUCUAUAUCAAAGGGUAUGUAUAGUUUUAGAGCCCUUUGGGCAUAGUUUCAAAUUGUACUUAAGAAUGAUUGGAUCAUAAGAAAUGAUGAAUAGAAUGUUUUCAGAAAGAGCUGGAAAGACCUAUCUGAACUGAUAAAGAAUAAAAAAAUCAGAACUAGGAGAACA
rnacentral:lncRNA from 1 species